rnacentral:rRNA from 1 species
UACGUAGGGUCCGAGCGUUGUCCGGAAUUAUUGGGCGUAAAGGGCUCGUAGGCGGUCCGUCACGUCGGGAGUGAAAACUCAGGGCUCAACCCUGAGCGUGCUUCCGAUACGGGCGGACUAGAGGUAUGCAGGGGAGAACGGAAUUCCUGGUGUAGCGGUGGAAUGCGCAGAUAUCAGGAGGAACACCGGUGGCGAAGGCGGUUCUCUGGGCAUUACCUGACGCUGAGGCGCGACAGCGUGGGGAGCAAACAGG